AGCGAACGCUGGCGGCAGGCUUAACACAUGCAAGUCGAGCGGGCAUCUUCGGAUGUCAGCGGCAGACGGGUGAGUAACACGUGGGAACGUACCCUUCGGUUCGGAACAACUCUGGGAAACUGGAGCUAAUACCGGAUACGCCCUUAUGGGGAAAGGCUUACUGCCGAAGAAUCGGCCCGCGUCUGAUUAGCUAGUUGGUGGGGUAACGGCCUACCAAGGCGACGAUCAGUAGCUGGUCUGAGAGGAUGAUCAGCCACACUGGGACUGAGACACGGCCCAGACUCCUACGGGAGGCAGCAGUGGGGAAUAUUGGACAAUGGGCGCAAGCCUGAUCCAGCCAUGCCGCGUGAGUGAUGAAGGCCUUAGGGUUGUAAAGCUCUUUUGUCCGGGACGAUAAUGACGGUACCGGAAGAAUAAGCCCCGGCUAACUUCGUG
rnacentral:rRNA from 1 species